rnacentral:rRNA from 1 species
AGAAUCAACGCUGGCGGCGUGCCUAACACAUGCAAGUCGAACGAGAAAGUGGAGCAAUCCAUGAGUAAAGUGGCGCACGGGUGAGUAACACGUGACUAACCUACCCUUGAGUGGGGGAUAACCUAGGGAAACCUGGGCUAAUACCGCAUAAUACCUACGGGUCAAAGGAGCAAUUCGCUUUAGGAGGGGGUCGCGGCAGAUUAGUUAGUUGGCGGGGUAAUGGCCCACCAAGACAGUGAUCUGUA